rnacentral:rRNA from 1 species
UACGAAGGUGGCUAGCGUUGUUCGGAAUUACUGGGCGUAAAGCGCGUGUAGGCGGGCCGUUAAGUCGGGGGUGAAAGCCCAGAGGUCAACUCUGGAAUUGCCUUCGAUACUGGCGGCCUGGAGCAUGAUAGAGGCGAGUGGAAUUGCGAGUGUAGAGGUGAAAUUCGUAGAUAUUCGCAGGAACACAAGUGGCGAAGGCGACUCGCUGGAUCAUUGCUGACGCUGAGACGCGAAAGCGUGGGGAGCAAACAGG